ensembl:lncRNA
UUUCUUUUCAGUCCACUUGCUUGCCUAUGAUUCUGCUUGACGCAUUAUGAUAAAUAUGUGAUUAAGCUUACAAAUUUAUAUGAUGCACAAAACUGAAAUAUUUUUAAGUUUUAAAUUUUUGGUGACUUUUUACAACGAGAGUACGUAGUUAUGUCGCUGGAAAUUGAGUCAUCAGUGUCCCAAUGUGUAGUGAGCCAGGGUCUUUACCAGUGCCCCAACACGUGUGUACAUGAUUAUACUGAUUCACUAACUGUACUGGACUAGGGAGCUUGAGACAUACCCAUAAUGUAUGAGCUGUGUUUAGUCAUAGGGUGCUUGUCAUUUCUUUAACUGUGCCUCGCCAUUUCCUUUCCUUCUUAGCUUCUUGGCUCGUCCCUCUGAGGAACUGAGGAAAGGGUGCAAAGAAAGGAAACGAGGACCAGAGAAAUGUGGAACAAGCGUAUUUGCCCAAUGAGAUAAGUUUGGUCAUUGAAAUCUAGAGAAUCCACUGGUUUCAUCUAUUGCUGGCACGUUGCUCAGUUGUAUUCAGCUAAAUAUAAUUAACUGGGAUCACUUUCUGAGUUAAGCUUAGUUAAAACAUUAUUGCAUGUGUACAUCACACUUAAAUGUUGAUAAUGUGGCCUCAACAUAUGGAUCCCAUUGUUUGAAUGUGUAUUUGUAUGUGAAAUUUCUCUAAACACCUGAGCAAUGUGAUAAAAUGAAGUGACGUUUUAUUGGUUGUAUGAAACAGCUAGCAUGCUGUUUGGUCCAAACUACAUCCUCUAUUUCCUUUUUUGUAUGCGCAUAUCCAGUGCUGCCACGUUCAUGUGAUGGAGCUACAGAAAUAUUGUGAAAUGUUUGUUUAUCCAAUUACAAAAUAGGCUUAGAUUUGUUAUGUGGCACUGGAACCAUUUUAUUUGCUUACAGCAAUGUUUGGAAACCCUGUAAAAAUGUAAACAAUUCCUGUCUCACUGGUAGGCCAAAUAAUUUAUUAAGGCAGACUGCUAUUUGCCAACUCUUAGAAUUUGGUCUUGGGGACAAAUUGGAUCCUGUACUAUAGAAGAGUCUGUAUAAAUCCAACCAAACGCCUUAAAAUGUAGCCUACCAAGGCACAAUGACCUGAAUUAUGGUGCUAAAGCAGCAAGCGUAUUCUUUACUGUUCAAAUGAAUCACUCUGACUGAGCAUAUUAUUUACUCAAGAAUCAAGGCAAGAGCAUGUGAAAUCUCCAAAAUGACUCUCCAAAAGAAACAGCCAGGUCCAUUUGGACAGUGACACUUUUUUUUGUAAUUUUAACACAGUGGGUUUGGAAAUUAAGCAGUCAAGCUGCGAUUGAAAUGUAGACUUUCAGCUUUGUCAAGCGGUUUUACAAAAAUAUUGCACUACCAAUUUAGGAAUUACAGCCAUUUUUUUUUCCAGAGUCCCUCCAUUUCACAGGCUCAAAAGUAAUUGGACAGCCAACUGAUAAAUGGCUUCAUGGCCAAGUGUGGCCUGUUUCUUUGUUAUUUCAUGACAGCUUAAGGAGACAAAAGGCCUGGAGUUGAUUCCAAGUGUUGAAUUUGCGUUUUGGUAGCUGUUCAUGGGGUCUUUCAAUAUGUGUUCCAAAGAGUUCUUGAUGCAAGGAGGCUAUCAUUGGGCUGAAAAAAACAAACAAAACAGUCCUAUCAGCAGGACAGCUGAAACUUUUUAAAGUGGCCAAAUCAAGAGUUUGGUGCAUUCUUAAAAAGAAGCAAUGCCCUGCUGAUCUCAGCAAAACUAAAAGGCCUAGAAAGCCACAGAAGACAACUAAAGUGGAAGUUCGCAGACUUAUUUCCUUGGUGAAGAAAAGGCCCUUCACAACAUCUAGUCGAGAACAAAGAGAUAGGAGUAUCAUUGUCAAACUCGACAAUCAAGAGAUGCCUUCAUGAAUGUAAAUACAAACAGUUUACCUUAAGAUGCAAACCACUGGUAACACUCAAGAACAGAAAGACCACAUAAGACUUCGCUUUAAAAAAAAAAAAACGCCUGCCCAGUUCUGUUGCAAGAUUAGUUUGUAGCAGAAUGAUGGGAAGAGAAGAAUAGGGAAAAGGGAAAGGAAAUGCUCCUGAUCCAAAGCAUACCACAUCAUCUGUCAAACAUGUGGAGGAAGUGUUCUGGCAUGGUCAUGUAUGGAACUGUGUCACUGGUGUUUAUUAAUGAUGUGACUGCCAAUAGAAGUAGCAGGAUAAAUUCUGAAGUGUAUGAGCAGGAAGUAUAACUCCAGAUGUAUACUUUUUUGCAGCAGCAGUCAAAUUCUGUGAAAUUGAUAGGACCGAGCUUCACAGUACAGAUGGAUAAUGACCCAAAACAUACCGCAAAAGCACACCUAUAGCUUCUUCAGGCAAAGAAAUUAAAUGUCUUUAAUUGUCCGAUGACCUCGACCAUAUCCAUAGACAAAACUGCAGUUGCUGUAAAGGCCAGGCAAAGCAUCUCAAGGGAGGACACUCAGCAUUUGGUGAUGCCAAUGGGUUCCAGACUGUGGUACAAUGUGGUAUACAGAGGUAAUAAAUUGUCGCUGUCCAAAUACUUAUGGACCUGACUGUGUGUAGUAUAUGGUGAUCACUACGAAUCACAUGCUUCACUUGUAAGAGGUUAACUUGUUUUGGUCAACUGAAGGACCAAACGACUUGAUGUAGGGCUGUGAAUCCUGCGUCAAUGUUCAGUUACUUACAAGCUGCACGUCAAGAUUUUUUUUUUUUUUUUUACAUUUUAUGAUAAUGCCUUGGAAUACAGUGAAGAUUGCGAAACACUGCUCAAGUGCUGUUGGACUAGCUCAGCAUUUUUUUUCUUCCUCCUUUUUAUUGUAUAACUUUCUUUUAAUCAUGUUAUAACUUGUCUAUUACCAGAACCAAAUAAUUUAUUUAAAUGUAAAAGCAGUGGAGUAAUUAAGUUGUAGGGCUGGGCUGUAGCCCUGUUUUUGUUAAGAGCAUUAAUAAUAAUUCAAGCAUUAGUUGUAAUUACUAAGAAUAAUUUUAAAACUAUUGGGUAAUAGUGGAUGAAGUUUGUUGUUUGUUAGUGGUUACUAGGUGCAAUAAUACACUCUGCAUUGAAAGUAGACUUCUGGGCCCUGUUUUUGUGUAAUCCAAACCCUGUAACUCAUAACUGCUUAAAUCUGCACCAUAAUGACGCACGAGUCAACCGGAAAUGACUGCAGGUAUCACAUGAUAAACUUUGUCACUUUUAUUUGCAGAGAGUCUGUGUGUUGUUUUUCUUCUUCUGUGUGCAUCUGACUUCGUAUUAAAUCAUAUACAUUACAAAUGUGUUUGUUCUUAUUGUACAUAUAGAUUAUUUUAUGAUUGUCAUUUUAUUUGAAACAAAUAUUCAACAUUUUAGUUCAUCAAGCAUUACCAUAAAGAGUGAGUGUGCAAAUCUAUAUGACUUUUGAAAAAAAGACUCCUCACCAUGGCUCUGGUUCAGCCAGCAGCAGAAAGCAGUACCUCCUUUGGAUUAUAUACUGUGUCUUGAUUUGACCUUUUUCUUGAUGAUGAUUAUUAUUAUUAUUAUUAUUAAUAAUAAUAAUAGAGGUACAAAUGUGAAAUGAAAACAGUGAUAUGGACAGUGACAAGAAAUUCAGUUCACCUUUUUAAAUAAAUAAAUAAAUAUAUAAUAUAUUUUU